rnacentral:rRNA from 1 species
GAUGAACGCUAGCGGCAGGCUUAAUACAUGCAAGUCGAGGGGCAGCAUGGGUAGCAAUACCUGAUGGCGACCGGCAAACGGGUGCGGAACACGUACGCAACUUUCCCAGAACUGGUGAAUAGCCCUCCGAAAGGAGGAUUAAUACACCGUAAGAUAGAGAUGUGGCAUCACAUUUUUAUUAUAGCUCCGGCGGUUUUGGAUGGGCGUGCGCCUGAUUAGGUAGUUGGCGGGGUAACGGCCCACCAAGCCUACGAUCAGUAACUGGUGUGAGAGCACGACCAGUCACACGGGCACUGAGACACGGGCCCGACUCCUACGGGAGGCAGCAGUAAGGAAUAUUGGUCAAUGGACGCAAGUCUGAACCAGCCAUGCCGCGUGAAGGAUGAAGGCCCUCUGGGUUGUAAACUUCUUUUAUCUGGGACGAAAAAGGGGCAUUCUUGCUCAACUGACGGUACCAGAGGAAUAAGCACCGGCUAACUCCGUGCCAGCAGCCGCCGUAAGAC